rnacentral:rRNA from 1 species
UACGUAGGUGGCGAGCGUUGUCCGGAUUUAUUGGGCGUAAAGAGCCCGCAGGCGGCUCGGCAAGUUUCAGGUGAAAUCUCCCGGCUUAACCGGGAGGGUGCCUGGAAAACUGCCGGGCUUGAGGCAGGGAGAGGGAUGCGGAAUUCCCGGUGUAGUGGUGAAAUGCGUAGAUAUCGGGAGGAACACCAGUGGCGAAGGCGGCAUCCUGGCCCUGUCCUGACGCUCAGGGGCGAAAGCGUGGGGAGCAAAGCCGG